CCGAACCUCUCUCCGCCCACGUUCACCUGACGGCCGUCGGGGAGCUGCCCCGCAGACACAAGACAAGGUCAUAUGAUCCAUGGAUAUUCUCUCCAACGAUCAGAGCGGUUCUGAAAAAUGUGGCUGUUGAACGUACCGUGAACGACUCCAUCAGGUAGGUGGUUUCCGUGGCCAGUCGCUGCUCUUGCUCGAUGUUGUAUCCGACAUAGCAGAGCUUCUCCUUCAGUAUGCGCACAGUCUCAAAGUCUGCUGAGUGGUUGAAGGCGUAGCCUCGGAGCAGCAGGAGCUGACAAAAGAGAUGGAAAACUGGGAUCAGAGUACUACCUGGUACCACUUAUUUCUUCACAUGUGAUCUCAAUGUCAGACCUUUGGCUGCUGGAGAGGCCGCAGACUCACCUUGAUGAGGUAGCGCGUGAUGUCGCGACCCGCGAUGUCCAGCCUGCGAGUGAGGUGGGGUAAGGAGAAACCCUCGUACACCGGACAGAUGUGGGUGACGCCGUCGCCGGAGUCAACGACCACACCGGUGAGCAGUCCUGUAGACCAUAGAACAUUUCAAGAAUCAUGUGAACCCUUCGUGAUUCAGCAGAGGGGUUUUCAAUUGAAUCCAAGGGAAGCAGCUGGUGGAAGUUUACCCUGAGCGUAGAGCGUGAGAACGGCCUGAAUGGCCACGUAGAUGCCGUGGAAUUGAUACUUUUCAAACAUGACCUCCGUGAUCUUUUCCCGGUUCUUGGUGGGGUUCAUGGGCGGCUCGGUCAGCAGGAUCUAAAAGAAGGGAAAUCAUAUGAAUACAGCUGUGUGAAGGUUUUGUGUAUAUUAUGUAGAACAGUGUUAGCUAAAGUGUGGGUCGAGGAGAUAUUGUAAGUGGUCCUCAGGCAGGGAUAUAAAAAUUCUUCCACUUCCACCAAAUUAAUCAGAACCAGAGACCAUAUAUAACAAAUUUGGAUGUUCUAGUUUGCUUGGUGAGGUCAACCAGGAAGUAGGAUUACAUUACCACCAGGGGGCCAUUUGUAAUUAAGUUUCCACCUAAGUUCAGAUCUUCAGCAAAAAAAAAGAGAAAGAUUAAACCUUUUAAUUCUGAACAAUUGACCGUCUGUUUUCCCUCUCUUUCAUUAGUACCCUACAAAAACAAGCAUAUACAACAUUGACCUUGCAUUCUUUUGGGUCAAUGUCCAGGCGGUCAGCGCCGAAGGUGUAGUCCCACAGGUGAAGCAUGUCCUCCCACGAGCGCACCAUGCCGUUCUCCAUGGGGUAAGAAAUCUCCAGCAUGGAGCGACACUCGCUGGCCUCAUCCCCCACCAUCAGGUCCUGGAGAAGAAGGAGAAGACGACGUUCAAACCAAACAUCCGAAUAAGGAAGAAAUUUGAUUAUAAUGACUUUGAAUGUUUGCCGUAAGUAUUAAGAGCCUCACCUUUAUCUCAAUGUUGCCCACUUUGGUGCUGGAUCGCAGGAUUGGUCGACCCACCAUGGCGGGGAAGAUGUGAUCGGGGAAGUUCGCUCCAGCGAAGCCACAUUUAACGAACUGUGGAGAAAUAUUAAAUGAAGGAAAUUACUUUUUUGUGCAAGACUACUAAAAAAGUAUUUUUUAAUCCCAGACCAGGGGUUCUCAAACGUCUUAUGCCAAGUACCACCGGAGGAAGCUUGCGUACCACUGGUGGUACACAUACCACAGUUUGAGAACCAUGGAUCCAGAAAUCUUAAUCAUUCGAAUGUGCUUUUAAACAUACGACUUAUACUAAAACUCUGAGAAUUAUCAUAAUAAAUAAAACUGCCUCUGUCAAAUUCAAUCAUA